AAAUCACGCCAACGCACGGCUAAAUUACUCUCUCUCUCUCUCUCUCUCUCGUCUAAAUAGUAAACCCUAGCUCCCGCCGCUCAUUCUCUCUUGCAUCGAACUCUAGCUCCUCCAUCUUCUCGUACUCCUCCACCAACUGGUUUGCUACCUUUUUCACUACAUUCAAAGUGGGACCGCGAUUACUUGGUGAAGUCGAUUCAAAGGUACUGCCAUGUGUUGAACUUGGCCAAGUGGGUAUCCAUCGAUGACUCUCGAUGGUUACUUGAUGGAGAGGAGUAGAAAAUAUGGGAAGAAGAUGGAAGUGCUUGAGCUUGGGAUCCAAGACAUUAGACGUGUUUCAGGCUCUAUAUGUUAGAUGAAUCCUAAGCACAAGGUCUACUGAUACUGGAACAGUGUCUUUCCACUCAGUCAAGUGAAGUCCCAGAUGCUAAAAACUUGAGGGGAUUGGUUUUUUUGGCUGUCUACCUCAUUCUUGGAAAGGGGAUUUUGGCAAGGCAAUUGAAAAACUUCAGAGAAUCCAAGAUUUAAAGAACUCUUCCUUGGGCAUUAAAGAUUUGUUAAAGGAUGCAAACCCAAGCACCAUAGUGGAUUUAAUAUAUUGAUGAAGCUUACCUUCUAGAGUUGGAGCAGUUCCAUGAGGUUAUUGUUGCAUCGGCCAUAUUUGGAUCCUCAUGCAAUGGCGACAAGGAGAGAGAAGAUAUUGUCUUCCCUUUAGAGAUGAGAAGACUUCUGGAGAGCAAUGUCAAUUUUUAAAGUCCUUUGGGGGGUAGAGGUAGCAUGAGGUGACUUGGGAACCAGCAGCGCGGUAAGUGUACUGGGAACGUUUUUUAAGGCCAGGCUAGCAGCAACUGAUAUCUGUUUGUCUUUUCUUAGUAGGGGACAAGUCAUCCUGCAAUAGCCAAUUAUAUAAAUGUGUAGAGCAUAGAAGUGUUACAGAAUCCAACUUAUAAAGUAUGUGCAAGAUCUCUCACAGUCAGAUCACUUGAAGUUGCACUUGCCGAAAUUAUUUUGUAAUUCAUAUUUUGUACUUUUGUAUUUUGCAAUGUAAUGUAAUGUGUAAAUAACAAAAUAUUGUAAUAUGUAGUGGAUUGUAUGCAUUUUAGUUUUUCA